rnacentral:rRNA from 1 species
UACAGAGGUGGCAAGCGUUGUUCGGAAUUACUGGGCGUAAAGGGCGCGUAGGCGGCCUUCUAAGUCAGACGUGAAAUCCCCCGGCUUAACCUGGGAACUGCGUCUGAUACUGGAAGGCUCGAGUAUGGGAGAGGGAUGUAGAAUUCCAGGUGUAGCGGUGAAAUGCGUAGAUAUCUGGAGGAAUACCGGUGGCGAAGGCGGCAUCCUGGACCAUUACUGACGCUGAGGCGCGAAAGCUAGGGGAGCAAACGGG